GACGUAGGGCGCAAGCGUUGUCCGGAAUUAUUGGGCGUAAAGAGCUCGUAGGCGGCUUGUUGCGUCGACUGUGAAAACCCGUGGCUCAACCAUGUGGUCUGCAGUCGAUACGGGCAGGCUAGAAUUCGGUAGGGGAGACUGGAAUUCCUGGUGUAGCGGUGAAAUGCGCAGAUAUCAGGAGGAACACCGGUGGCGAAGGUGGGUCUCUGGGCCGAUAUUGACGCUGAGGAGCGAAAGCGUGGGGAGCGAACAGG
rnacentral:rRNA from 1 species